GACGUAGGGCGCGAGCGUUGUCCGGAUUUAUUGGGCGUAAAGAGCUCGUAGGCGGUCUGUCGCGUCUGCUGUGAAAACUCAGGGCUUAACCCUGAGCUUGCAGUGGGUACGGGCAGACUAGAGUGCGGUAGGGGAGACUGGAAUUCCUGGUGUAGCGGUGAAAUGCGCAGAUAUCAGGAGGAACACCAGUGGCGAAGGCGACUUCCUGGCCUGUUCUUGACGCUGAGGCGCGAAAGCUAGGGGGAGCAAACGGG
rnacentral:rRNA from 1 species